AGCCUUGGAACAGAUUUCAGUUGCAUUCGAAUCUCGCUUCUAAAAUUUUGUAUUCAACUUAGUGGUUCACAGAAAGUGAAAAAAGGUGAUAAUCGGUAAUAAAUGAGUAUGAAGCUAGGUGCGACGUUUCUCCUGGGGGCUAUGUUCGGUGUCCUUUUAACUGGAGGAUUCAAUCGCUGCCGCCAUCUUAAAGAAACAAGCAGUAGCGGUAGCAGGGGAGAAAACAGGCGCUGCCCUCGCACCAAACCAACUCAAAACAAACCUGCUGAUGCCAACCCAAGUCCCCAAGUGGAGUAGCAAUCGGAAGCAACGCUUGUUGGCUCGUGAUUGAAGACAUGGGUGUGUUUUGCUUUGUACAUCGUAUUAUGUUUGAAGAGGGUCAUGUAGGGUCGAGCUUCAUUCGGCCUGAUGUGUGUUUUUACUUUUUAACUGUCCUUUUUAUACUGUACUUGAAAUUCCUUAUGGGUUUUACUCAAUUUAAAAAUAAUUUGAGCAGACAUGCAUACAUGUUGAAUAACAUUUGAACCCCAAAAACUCAAGUUCUCUGUUUUCAUGUAUAUACACCAUCUUUUACGUUUAGCCUUUUAAUAAAAAGUAAUAUACAUUACAAAAUUUCAC
rnacentral:lncRNA from 1 species